AGGAGGUUCUCUCUUUUGAAUCCCAUCCGGAUAAACUACACGUUAUUCCUCUGAGUUGUCUCAUUGUAGCUCAUACGACUUGUUGUUGUAAAGGUUUAAAAAAGGGCUUGGAAAGUCCUACGUGACGCCAUGCAUGGUGGGUACAGUAACUAUGACAGUGAUCUUACAUCUUUAGACAGAACUCACAGAAGUGACCAUUACAUAGAGAAAAUGUGGAAGGAGCUAGAGAGCUUGGACCUGUUUUACAAGUUUAGAUGUCUGUUGUUUCCUCUGGGCAAGAAACAUUGGUUUUAAACUGUAGAAGUUUGGAAACCGGAUGCUUCGAUGGUGGCUGGUGUUUCCCUUCUUCUUCCUAAUUCCUUGGUCUUUGAAGACCCGCCUUUGGGUUGAUUUGGUUAUAU